CAGUCGCCGCGGUAAUACGGAGGGUGCAAGCGUUAAUCGGAAUUACUGGGCGUAAAGCGCACGCAGGCGGUUUGUUAAGUCAGAUGUGAAAUCCCCGAGCUUAACUUGGGAACUGCAUUUGAAACUGGCAAGCUAGAGUCUUGUAGAGGGGGGGUAGAAUUCCAGGUGUAGCGGUGAAAUGCGUAGAGAUCUGGAGGAAUACCGGUGGCGAAGGCGGCCCCCUGGACAAAGACUGACGCUCAGGUGCGAAAGCGUGGGGAGCAAACAGGAUUAGAUACCCCGGUAGUCCCUGUCUCUUAUA
rnacentral:rRNA from 1 species